CUCAGUUGGGAGGGAUGCAAAUAGGGUAUUGAAAUCAUUACCCACAUGAUCAUUAAAGAAGACUUGAAAUUCGGGCAUCUCAGAUUUGAGACCUUGUGCCAGGUACUUCCUUUCUACAGCUUCCACUAUAUGUUGCAUUGCUAUGAAGGUAUUUGGCCCAACUGAACAUCCCAAAUCUGCAAGACGAAACGGGUUUGAAGAGAAGCACAUUACAUCAAGCUUCUUAGCAAUUGCCUCUUCAAUCAUAGUUCUCGACACAUUAAUAUCUUGUCUCUACAAAACAAUAGUCCACCAUUCGCUUUGUUAUUAAUGUCAGGGAUGAUAUUCCCUAAACCAAGCAAUUUUUAAUCACGUAAUAUAAUCCAGGGUGAGCAAAACGGAGAUCCAUGAAAUCUGUAAGAUAGAGAAAAUUUAUGAAGAGGCUGCAACGGCUACAAAAGCAGUUAAAAUACCUGAAAAUGGGAGUUGUUGCGGUAGCUAUGAGGUCCAUCCCCUCCGUUCAUCAGAAAAGAUUGUUGCAUUGUGGCUGCGUCGUCGUUGCUUAUAACUCUCUCUGUCUGUGGAGAGCCUAGGUGAGCCGUGUGCUUUAUUUGAUGGACGCUCUAUAUAGACAUCUCAUAAACAAUGGCCUUCUGACACGUGUACCAAUUUCAGGCCUUUCCUUAGGGUCAAGUCGCCCUUCAUUAUUUACUUGUCCUAGCAUGUGUUUUAUCCUUAUUGACUGGUAUAAAUUUAAAAUGGCCUUCGGACACGUGUACCAAUUUCAUGCCUUUCCUUAGGGUCAAGCCGGCCUUCAUUAUUUACUUGUCCUAGCAUAUGUUUUAUCCUUAUUGACUGGUAUAAAUUUGGUCGGGCAAGUAGUAACUUGACUGGAAAUUGUGAUAUGUGAUAAUAUCCCAGCAUUCAAAAGCACACGGAACAACUUAUUUUAUCUUUAAUAAAAACCAUCUCUUUAUUUAAAAUAACAUCUUUAAUAAAAUUGAUAUUUAUAAAAUAUUAGGACUGCUUGCCUAUUUUUUUUUUUAAUUGGGUCUACAUCUUAAUUAUUAUUAUUUUUUCUUUUCUUUCUUUUUCUUCUUCCCCACUUUUUCCCAUCCCACUCCUUCCCCUCCCCACCCCACCCCACCCCACCCCACCCCACCACCACUUACCUUCAUUUCUAGCCCCCUUUUCCACUUCCUCUGUUUUUUUCCUCUCUCUCUCCCCAUCCCAUCCCACCACCACUUACUUUCAUUUCCAACCCCCUUUUCCUCUCUCUCUCUUUCCCUCUCUCUCUUGGAAUGAGCUUAAAGUCAGAUAUCUUAAAAUAACAUCUUUAAUAAAAUUGAUAUUUAUAAAAUAUUAGGACUGCUUACCUAUUUUUUUUUUUAAUUGGGUCUACAUCUUAAUUAUUAUUAUUUUUUCUUUUCUUUCUUUUUCUUCUUCCCCACUUUUUCCCAUCCCACCCCACCCCACCCCACCCCACCACACCACCACUUACCUUCAUUUCUAGCCCCCUUUUCCACUUCCUCUGUUUUUUUCCUCUCUCUCUCCCCAUCCCAUCCCACCACCACUUACUUUCAUUUCCAACCCCCUUUUCCUCUCUCUCUCUUUCCCUCUCUCUCUUGGAAUGAGCUUAAAGUCAGAUAUCUCAAGAGUGAUGGAGCAAGGGUUUUCCAACUUGAGAAAUCUUUGAGUUGCAUCAAUUAAGGUGCUUUGUCUAUUAUUGAAUAUUUCAGUUCCUUUAAGACCCUUUGGGAUGAGUACAUUAGCUAUAGGCCAUUUCCAACAUGCGCUUGUGGCAAAAUGGCAACAUGCACUUGUGAACUUUUCAACUUUUCAACUUUCUACAAAUCAGACAGCAAUUUGAUUAUGUACUCAAAUUCUUGGUGGGGCUAAAUGAUUCUUAUGCCUCUAUCAGAAGCCAAUUGCUGCUAAUGGUUCCAUUACCAAACAUGUCCAAGGUUUUCUCUCUACUACUUCAAGAAGAAAGUCAGAGGCAACUCACAAAUUCUGCUACAUAUAAUGAGACUCAUGCUUUGAUUGCAAGGCAAUCCAAUCAGGAGAAUUACCAGCCACAAUCUUUCAAGGACAAACCAAAGAAAUUUGCCCUACACUAUACUCAUUGUGGCAAUAAUGGUCACACAAUGGACAAAUGUUUUCAACUUCAUGGUUAUCCCCCUAGCUGGAAUGGACCAAAGGGAAAAAGAAAUAUGGCUUCUGCUUAUGCUACCAUUACUACUCCAGAGGUCCCCAAUCAAAAUAGCAAUGAGCAACAAAAGUUUUGUUUCACUCCAGAGGAAUUUCAUAAACUAAUGGCGCUUGCAAAUUCAGUUCAACCCAAUUCUUCCAAUCAGAAUAAUGUCCAACCAGUUGUUAACCUUGUCACCACCUCUUACUUUUCUGGUAAAGUUCAACCUACACUUAAACCAAUUUUUUUUUUCUUGUACUUCUGUUACUUCUAAGCCAAAUUCCACUUCAUAUUGGCUUCUUGAUACGGGUGCAACAGACCAUAUGAUUUGUUCACCACUUUUAUACCAUUUAUACCUAAACCAAUUAAUGCAUCCAUCAAUCUUCCUAAUGGUACUACAGUUCCAACCACAUACAUUGGUACUGUAUGUCUCUCAGAUUCCUUAUUUUUACAUAAUGUCUUGUGUGUUCCUCAUUUUUCAUUCAAUCUAUUAUCCGUUUCCAAACUCACUAAACAAUCUAAUCUUUUUCUUACCUUUACUGCUUCUCAUUGCCUUUUACAGGACCAGUCAAUGGAGAAGAUGAUUAGGAUUGCUCUUGAAAAAGAAGGACUUUACCAUCUGAUUCCAGCUUCAUCACAAGCUAAAAUCUGUAAUUCAUUUCAGUUUAAUUAUGCUCAUCUUGCUUUGUCCUCUAUUCACAAACACUUAGAUAUAUGGCAUUGUAGAUUAGAACAUGUAUCUAGUUCAAGAUUCCAUUCCCUCAAACAGAUUGACUUUGCUAUCACUAUUGAUCAUACAAAUGUUUGUGACAUAUGUCCUUUAGCAAAGCAAAGAAGGCUUCCUUUUUUUUGUAUCACAAAAUAAUUCUAAUAAAAGUUUUGUGAUCGCUCAGAUUUUGUCGUUUAUUGGAUCAAAACAAAAUUUAUAACCUAAUUCAUUAUUCUAUGGCAAUUUGUACCCGAUCAAAAAUGUGGUUUUAGUACAAACUACUGUAGUAUAGUGGUAUUUAGGUAUCGUCCACAAGAAUGGAUUAUUCUCGGUAAUUAAGGCUUGAACGAGAUGAUAAGAAAUGAUGGUGAUCAAGUGAAAUUUACUUGAAAUUGCAUGAUAAAAUCUCUAGAUAGCAAUGUAUUCAAAUUGAAUUGAAAAUGAAGUGUAAAAGAGAAGAAAAUUAAUAAGAUGUGAGAUUCUCGGAGUUAGGAUUUUCUAGAGAGCAAUUUCCAUGGUGAAUAGGUGUUAAGAUCAAAUUUUCAUCAAGUUAGAUUGAAAACCUAAAUUUUCAUCUAAACCGAUUUUUGAUUUAGCUUUAGAUCUAGAUCUAAUUUCUCUUCAAAUUAGGUAAUCUAAUCCAAGAGAUCAAUUUGAAUCAUAUAUUCAAUUCAUCUUAAAUUAUCUUCCAAUGAUUCAUACUAUGCAACUAUUCAAUUUCAUCAAAUCUAGCAUUAAGAAUUUGAUGAAUCUACCUAGCUUGCAUUGUAGUAGUCAUCCAAGACAAUUUGAAGAGAAAAAUCCCCAAAUUUCAAUUAAUCAAUCAAUUGGAUCAAAUUACCUAUGCAAUUCAAGCUCAAUUCUCUAAUUCACCAUAGAUCUUGCUUCUAGAUCCUCCGUCCUCCAAGAAAAAACGAGAUUUAGCCACUCAUGCUUGGAGAUUUGAUCUCACAAGACAUGUUUGACUACCGAGAAAAUAAGAGAAACUGAAGGAAAGUGGAGAAUUAUAUAGAGAGAAGAAGUAUGAAAAGUUCUACAAUUAGAAAAUGAAUCAAAAAGUCCCUAAAUGAGUCAAUCCCGUUUCUAUUUAUAGGCCCAGGUUAAAAGGACACUUGGCAACAUUUUAGAGGUCUUCCGGAUGCUUCUUCAUCAAGGAAUCUGGAGAAAAUGCAUUUUCGCACGAGCCCCUAGAAAUCUCGCAUGAUGGUGUGAAGUGGAGAAUCCAUCAGCUUCAAUUUCGUUCUUCUGGAGCGUUUCGCAUGACUGUGUGAAAAUUUCGCAUGGUCAUGCGAAAUCACUUUUUCACAAUUUCCUUAUGUGCUACAGCCACAACCUUUCUGUUUCAUUUCGCAUGGUCAUGCAAAAUCGAAAAUCAUGCUAUUCCGGAUCCUCUUUGCAAUUUUUCUCAUUUCUUCAUGUUUAAUCCAUCUCCACCACCUUCAAUUAAGCUCCAAAGCUUGGUCCAAGUGCAUUUCCUCUUCCUCUUCAUCUACAUUAUGUACCCUCCUCCAUUCCAUUUCCAUUUGUCACUCCAUGCUUCAAAUAUCACCUUAAAAUAUCUCCAAAACACAACAAAGAACCAUUAGUAUCUCUUGGAAGGGUAGCAAUGUAUUACUUGGGCAUAUUAGGCAUAAUUACUACUCAAAAUGUGUGAAACUCAUGAAAGUUAGUAUCUAAAAUGUGUGGUUUUUGAGUAGUAAUCAUUUUGAUUUGAUCCAUUGUGAUAUAUGGGGUCCUUUUGGCACUACUUCUUAUUCUGGUUUUCGAUAUUUUUUUAACAAUAGCCGAUGACUACACAAGGUGUACUUGGGUAUACAUGAUUAAAGCUAAAUCAGAAGUGCCAUCUUUAAUCAAAACUUUCUGUAAUGGUAGCAAACCAAUUUUCUUCUUCUGUUAAAGCUAUAAGGUCUGAUAAUGGACCAAAAUUCUUACUCACAAAAUUCUAUCAUAAAUAUGGUAUUUUGCAUUAGAGAAGUUGUGUCGAAACUCCUCAACAAAAUGGUGUUGUGGAGAGAAAACUUCAACAUCUACUAAGCACUGCUAGAGCCUUAAUGUUUCAAGCAAAUCUACCAUUAAUUUUUUGGAGUGACUGUGUGCUUACUGCUGCCCACAUAAUCAAUAGAAUUCCCACUCCUCUACUUCAAAAUAAAACCCCUUUUGAAAUGUUUUUUAACAAAACACCUAACCUUUCUCAUUUAAGAGUUUUUGGCUGUCUUUGUUUUGCAUCCACUUUAACUAGUCACAGACAAAAAUUUGAUUCACGAGCCACAAAGUGCAUCUUCCUAGGAUAUCCUUAUGAUAUUAAGGGUUAUAAACUCAUGGAUCUAAACAACAAUAAGAUCCUUGUUUCUCGGAAUGUCAUAUUCCAUGAAACAUUUUUUCCUUUCCAAGUGUUGCCCCAACAUCUUGAAACUCAUUCAUUUAUGUUUCCUCUUUCACAAUCAUUUUCAGAUUCACCUUCUACCACCCCCUUCUUCAAUUCCUAUCAUAAUGUGUGACCUGCAUCACCACCUAAUAAUUCUCCUUUUCUCUCUGAACCUUUUGCCCUUCUUGAAUCCGACUCACCUACAUGUCCCUCUCCAUCCCAUCUGGAUUCAACUGACCCUGAAGUCCUACAGCUCAGAAAAUCAACCAGAAUUAAACAAAAACCUUCAUAUCUGCAGGACUAUUAUUAUGGUAAUGUCUCUUCUUCUCAAACUGCAACUCAGACAUCUACUUCAACUAACUGGUCUCCCAUUAAAGGUAAUUUCUAUUCUCUUCACCCUUUUCUUUCUACUAGUAGACUGUCUACGUCCCAUAAAACUUUUCUCACCUUUAUCACAAACUCUCCAGAACCCAAAUCAUACACCCAAGCUUCUCGCCUCCUUGAAUGGCAAGCUGUCAUGCAACAUGAACUUACUGCUUUGGAGUUAAAUAAAACUUAGGAACUUGUUACUCUUCCUAAAAAUAAAAGGACUAUUGGUUGUAAAUGGGUAUUCAAAGUGAAAUAUAAAGCUGAUGGAACUAUAGAAAGACAUAAAGCUAGAUUGGUGGCAAAAGGGUAUACUAAGCAAGAAUGCCUCGAUUUAUUUGAUACUUUCUCUCAUGUGGCCAAGAUUACAUCCAUUCGCUUACUACUUGCUGUGGCUACCGUCAAACAGUGGCAUCUUCAUCAACUAAAUGUCAAUAAUGCAUUUUUGCAUGGUGAUUUACAUGAAGAGGUAUACAUGGAAUUGCCUCCUGGGUUGGCUGUCCAAGGUGAACAGAAAGUUUGUCGUCUUUUAAAGAGCCUUUAUGGCUUGAAGCAAGCUUCCAGGCAAUGGUAUGCCAAACUAUCCCAGGCCCUUCUUUCCUAUGGAUUUGUUCAAGGUAACUCUGAUUGUUCUCUAUUCAUUAAGAAAUCUGAAAGUUCUUUUAUGGCCUUAUUAGUCUAUGUGGAUGAUGUGCUAUUGGCAAGUGAUAGCAUUCUGGAAAUUGAAAGGUUGAAGACCUUUUUAGAUGCCAAGUUCACUAUUAAAGACUUAGGCCCACUGAAAUACUUUCUUGGCUUGGAAGUUGCAAGGUCCAAGACUAGUAUCUUCUUAUGCCAACGAAACUAUAUACUUGACAUACUUGAAGACACUGGUUUAACUAGAUCCAAACCUAUUGCCUUCCCUAUGGAAUCUACCCUCAAGUUAUCAGCAAAUGAUACCAAUUUCUAUGAAGAUCCAUCAGGUUACCGAAGACUCAUUGGCAGAUUAUUUUACUUAACUCUCACUAAGCCCGACUUAGCCUAUUCUGUAAAAGUACUCAGCCAAUUUUUAGCAAAACCUGCUGUUAGUCACCAUCAAGCAGGCAUUCGAGUACUGAGGUAUCUAAAGGCCAUACUAGGGCAAGGUCUCUUUUUUCUUUCUUUCUCAGAUUUUCAAUUAAAGGGUUUUUCCUAUAGUGAUUGGGCAGGCUGUGUCGAUACUAGAAGAAGUGUCACUGGUUUUGCAAUUUUUCUUGGCAACUCAUUGAUUUCAUGGAAAUCAAAGAAACAAGUUACAGUUAGUCGAUCCUCUACAGAGGUAGAGUACCAAGCCCUUGCAACUGCCACCUGUGAAAUUCAAUGGCUUUUUAAUGCCUUGCAAGACCUGGAUAUCAAACAUUCACAGUCAGCUUUGCUAUAUACUGACAGUAAAUCAACAAUGCCCAUCACCACAAAUCCAGUUCAACAUGAGAGAACAAAACAUAUCUAGAUUGAUUGCCAUCUUAUUCGCGAAAAAUUGCAGCAGCAUGUUAUAAAGCUCUUCCAUAUUCCAUUGCGAUUAUAGCUUGCAGAUAUCUUUACAAAGCCUCUCGGUUCUCUACCUUUUCAUCAUACUCUUUGCAAGAUGAACAUCAUUAACAUCCAUGUUCAUCUUGAGGGGGGGUGUUGGAGUGUUACAUCUCAUAUUGAAAGCAUGGAAUUAAAAAGGAAAGAAGACUUAAAAUAGAAAGCAAGUUAGAUGAGAAGAGUUAGUUAGAAGAGUUGUUAUUUCAAAUUAUUCUUUACUUUGUUAUUGUGUCAUUGAUGUAUUAUAAAUAGGACUCAAGUCUGAUGUAGUUUUUAAAUUUUUUCAGUUUCUGCAAUUCAUUUUCCUUUGCGUCCUCUAUUUCUUGGUGUUUUUCAUCAGUUUCAAAUUCUUCUGAUUCUCAACAACAAUUAUUGUAAAUAUAUAGAGUUGAUACCCAAAUCUGGGUCAUUAUUUAUGAUCCACUGGAUCUUCACGACAAUAUAUAUUGAUAUCCUGAAACUAGUCUCAGAGAAGGGACUCAGAAAACUAGCAGGAAAAGUAGUUUAUGAUCAUCUUCAAACAGUAUCAUUUACGCCUCAGAACAACAAACAAUAGAAUUCCUUCUUUGUUGCCUGAUUCCAGCUGGUGGGAGGACUCCAUAAUUUUCUUGGAAAAACUAUCAAACAGUUGAUCAAUAAUCCCACUUCCAAAAUGUUGGGCAAAAAUUCCCUCCAAGCCAGCUCUAAGGUACAUUGCAUAUUCCUUUCCAUUGAUCGGGCCAACAAGUUUUGAUCUAGAGUUCACUAACUCCAUUCUCUCAAUGGUUAAACACUCAUUUCUUUCCACCAGCUCUGUCAUUUGCUCGGGAGAGGCCAGAUGAAUAGGCAAGUUGAAGGAAUCCACUUGAGCUUCACUAAUUAAUCCCUGCAUUCAACAUUGGCAAUUUUGGCAUCAUCUCUUGAAUUUGAUUCGGGCUUGUCUGUAAAACAACAUAAAACUACCAGACAAGCAAAAAUUCAACAAUUAUAAUUAUAGUUUGUUUUUUUCCCCUCUCUGCCCUAAUACUGGGCUUCAUGUAUGAGGUUCCAUGAGGGUAUAUUGGUCAUUUUACAUGAUUAGCCUAGCGUUUCCUACGACCCAACCUGAAUUGGGCCAUGGGAUGAGCAUAUGCCUAGGGUAAGUGUGCCAGGCUCCCUCAGCCCCAACAAAAAAUUUCCCUGUUUUAUUUCCAAAAUAUACUAAUAUUUCCCAAGUUCCACAUUAAUUUUCUAUGCGGAAUGUUACUUAGCUAUGAUCAGAGCCCUCUCAACUAUUAGAUGUUAAAUUCACUUUUCUAAUUCCAAAAUAGAAUAUCAUCCGCCUUACCUCCUUGGCCAUGUCCAUGAGGCAUGAUCCCAGAAGAUCGAACAUAAUACCAUAUGGGUUUUGAGAAGCAGGGAUCCCAUUUGGGAGAGCUAGAAUGAGAAACACUAUCAUCCCUCCAACCACAAGUUCCUUAGCUCUGGCACUCAGAAAGAUCUCCAUGUCAUGCUCAAAUUGAGCUGCAUAAGCAUGGCUUACUUCUUCUGGGCCACUUGUGUAGUGAAUCCUUCCCCUGUUCCAUGCAGGGGAGUUUUUGUCCAACAACUCUUCAGGCACCUUUGAGAGCCAGUGGAGUGCAUGAGAGGAAAACAUGAAAUGGAUAGAUGACUCCGGGAAUAACCGGCCAUGGAAAGAACCCGGGACGCCACAGGCAAAGUACCGCCUCUCAGUUGGGAGGGAUGCAAAUAGGGUAUUGAAAUCAUUACCCACAUGAUCAUUAAAGAAGACUUGAAAUUCGGGCAUCUCAGAUUUGAGACCUUGCACCAGGUACCUCCUUUCUACAGCUUCCACUAUAUGUUGCAUUGCUAUGAAGGUAUUUGGCCCAACUGAACAUCCCAAAUUUGCAAGACGAAACGGGUUUGAAGAGAAGCACUUUACAUCAAGCUUCUUAGCAAUUGCCUCUUCAAUCAUAGUUCUCGACACAUUCAUAUCUUGUCUC
rnacentral:lncRNA from 1 species